rnacentral:rRNA from 1 species
UUAAGUUAUUAAGGGCGCACGGUGGAUGCCUUGGCACUAGAAGCCGAUGAAGGACGUUACUAACGACGAUAUGCUUUGGGGAGCUGUAAGUAAGCUUUGAUCCAGAGAUUUCCGAAUGGGGAAACCCAGCAUGAGUUAUGUCAUGUUAUCGAUAUGUGAAUACAUAGCAUAUCAGAAGGCACACCCGGAGAACUGAAACAUCUUAGUACCCGGAGGAAGAGAAAGAAAAUUCGAUUCCCUUAGUAGCGGCGAGCGAAACGGGAAGAGCCCAAACCAACAAGCUUGCUUGUUGGGGUUGUAGGACACUCUAUACGGAGUUACAAAGGACGACAUUAGACGAAUCAUCUGGAAAGAUGAAUCAAAGAAGGUAAUAAUCCUGUAGUCGAAAAUGUUGUCUCUCUUGAGUGGAUCCUGAGUACGACGGAGCACGUGAAAUUCCGUCGGAAUCUGGGAGGACCAUCUCCUAAGGCUAAAUACUCUCUAGUGACCGAUAGUGAACCAGUACCGUGAGGGAAAGGUGAAAAGCACCCCGGAAGGGGAGUGAAAUAGAACCUGAAACCGUGUGCUUACAAGUAGUCAGAGCCCGUUAAUGGGUGAUGGCGUGCCUUUUGUAGAAUGAACCGGCGAGUUACGAUUUGAUGCAAGGUUAAGCAGUAAAUGUGGAGCCGUAGCGAAAGCGAGUCUGAAUAGGGCGUUUAGUAUUUGGUCGUAGACCCGAAACCAGGUGAUCUACCCUUGGUCAGGUUGAAGUUCAGGUAACACUGAAUGGAGGACCGAACCGACUUACGUUGAAAAGUGAGCGGAUGAACUGAGGGUAGCGGAGAAAUUCCAAUCGAACCUGGAGAUAGCUGGUUCUCUCCGAAAUAGCUUUAGGGCUAGCCUCAAGUGAUGAUUAUUGGAGGUAGAGCACUGUUUGGACGAGGGGCCCCUCUCGGGUUACCGAAUUCAGACAAACUCCGAAUGCCAAUUAAUUUAACUUGGGAGUCAGAACAUGGGUGAUAAGGUCCGUGUUCGAAAGGGAAACAGCCCAGACCACCAGCUAAGGUCCCAAAAUAUAUGUUAAGUGGAAAAGGAUGUGGCGUUGCCCAGACAACUAGGAUGUUGGCUUAGAAGCAGCCAUCAUUUAAAGAGUGCGUAAUAGCUCACUAGUCGAGUGACACUGCGCCGAAAAUGUACCGGGGCUAAACAUAUUACCGAAGCUGUGGAUUGUCCUUUGGACAAUGGUAGGAGAGCGUUCUAAGGGCGUUGAAGCAUGAUCGUAAGGACAUGUGGAGCGCUUAGAAGUGAGAAUGCCGGUGUGAGUAGCGAAAGACGGGUGAGAAUCCCGUCCACCGAUUGACUAAGGUUUCCAGAGGAAGGCUCGUCCGCUCUGGGUUAGUCGGGUCCUAAGCUGAGGCCGACAGGCGUAGGCGAUGGAUAACAGGUUGAUAUUCCUGUACCACCUAUAAUCGUUUUAAUCGAUGGGGGGACGCAGUAGGAUAGGCGAAGCGUGCGAUUGGAUUGCACGUCUAAGCAGUAAGGCUGAGUAUUAGGCAAAUCCGGUACUCGUUAAGGCUGAGCUGUGAUGGGGAGAAGACAUUGUGUCUUCGAGUCGUUGAUUUCACACUGCCGAGAAAAGCCUCUAGAUAGAAAAUAGGUGCCCGUACCGCAAACCGACACAGGUAGUCAAGAUGAGAAUUCUAAGGUGAGCGAGCGAACUCUCGUUAAGGAACUCGGCAAAAUGACCCCGUAACUUCGGGAGAAGGGGUGCUCUUUAGGGUUAACGCCCAGAAGAGCCGCAGUGAAUAGGCCCAAGCGACUGUUUAUCAAAAACACAGGUCUCUGCUAAACCGUAAGGUGAUGUAUAGGGGCUGACGCCUGCCCGGUGCUGGAAGGUUAAGAGGAGUGGUUAGCUUCUGCGAAGCUACGAAUCGAAGCCCCAGUAAACGGCGGCCGUAACUAUAACGGUCCUAAGGUAGCGAAAUUCCUUGUCGGGUAAGUUCCGACCCGCACGAAAGGCGUAACGAUUUGGGCACUGUCUCAACGAGAGACUCGGUGAAAUCAUAGUACCUGUGAAGAUGCAGGUUACCCGCGACAGGACGGAAAGACCCCGUGGAGCUUUACUGUAGCCUGAUAUUGAAAUUCGGCACAGCUUGUACAGGAUAGGUAGGAGCCUUUGAAACGUGAGCGCUAGCUUACGUGGAGGCGCUGGUGGGAUACUACCCUAGCUGUGUUGGCUUUCUAACCCGCACCACUUAUCGUGGUGGGAGACAGUGUCAGGCGGGCAGUUUGACUGGGGCGGUCGCCUCCUAAAAGGUAACGGAGGCGCUCAAAGGUUCCCUCAGAAUGGUUGGAAAUCAUUCAUAGAGUGUAAAGGCAUAAGGGAGCUUGACUGCGAGACCUACAAGUCGAGCAGGGUCGAAAGACGGACUUAGUGAUCCGGUGGUUCCGCAUGGAAGGGCCAUCGCUCAACGGAUAAAAGCUACCCCGGGGAUAACAGGCUUAUCUCCCCCAAGAGUUCACAUCGACGGGGAGGUUUGGCACCUCGAUGUCGGCUCAUCGCAUCCUGGGGCUGUAGUCGGUCCCAAGGGUUGGGCUGUUCGCCCAUUAAAGCGGUACGCGAGCUGGGUUCAGAACGUCGUGAGACAGUUCGGUCCCUAUCCGUCGUGGGCGUAGGAAAUUUGAGAGGAGCUGUCCUUAGUACGAGAGGACCGGGAUGGACAUACCUCUGGUGUACCAGUUGUCGUGCCAACGGCAUAGCUGGGUAGCUAUGUGUGGACGGGAUAAGUGCUGAAAGCAUCUAAGCAUGAAGCCCCCCUCAAGAUGAGAUUUCCCAACUUCGGUUAUAAGAUCCCUCAAAGAUGAUGAGGUUAAUAGGUUCGAGGUGGAAG